rnacentral:lncRNA from 1 species
GAGACUCUAGAAGGGGAUGCCAUUCUCCGGACAUGGAAUACCGACAACCUGAAGUUGUACUACCAAUGAACUUUGUAUCCCCUCACUCGGAAUACCAAACUCAGUUUCAAAACUUCGGAGUCCGAGAUCUUGACUCUUCGACUGUGAGUCGGUGCUCGUCGGGAAUACAAGCUUCGGCGCCCCGACUUGGGCCCAACGUUCCAUUGAGAAUCGACGGCCCGAUCACCGAUGAUGCAUCGGACGCUUGAAAAGGACCGAUACAUCCACGACGAUGGGAGUUACAC